AGUGGCAACCCACUCAGAUUCCGUUUCAUAGUGUGGAGGUUUUGUUCUUUCACUCUGCAGUAAAUCUUACUGCUGCUCAGUGUUUGGGUCUGUGCUACCUUUAUGAGCUGUAACACUCACGGUGGAAGCCUGCAGUCUCACUCCUGAGGCCAGGGAGACCACGAACCCACCAGGAGGAAUGAACAACUCCGGAGGCGCAGACUUAAGAGCUGUAACACUCACCGCGAAGGUCUGUAGUUUCACUUUUGAACCAGCGAGACCAUGAACCCGCCAGAAAGAAAAAACUGCCAACACAGCCGGACAUCAGAAGGAACAAACUGGGGACACGCUGCCUUUAAGAAACAUAACAGGCACCGUGAGGGUCCACGGCUUCAUUCUUGAAGUUAGUGAGACCAAGAACCCACCUAAUCCCGGGCACAAAACCACCUCAAUCUCCCAAAGACCGAAAGCCCUGGUGUCGCUGGGACCAGAGUUCUGGAGGCUGGAUGUCCAAGAUGAAGGCACUGCUAAACUCUGCAUCUGGAGAGGGUGGUUUCCUGAUUCACGGACAAUGUCUCCUCCCUGUGUCCUCACAUGGCCUCUACUCUGUGCGCACCUGGAGAGAGAGCGCCCCGUCCCUCCCUCUUCUGAUGAGGUCACCAGCCCUAUCAGAACUUUUUCUGAGAGCCUAUCGUGUCCAUGGAGAGCAGCUGAGGUAAAUCCUGGAGGUGACUGUCCCCCUAGGAGAUGAUGUGGAUGGGGAAAUAGUUCAUACGCAGCUCAGCGACCUUGAAGCGGCAUCCGAGGAGAUGUGGCCACGGGGCAGGCGACCGACACCAGCGAGUCCAGAGGGCCAGCGUGUGCACCACUGUGUGUCUCCAGAGACUUCAGGAAGCAGCCACCACGCCCGAGGAAUGCAGGAAGAUGGACACACGGCUGGGGAAGUACAAUGAAAGGCCAAGUAGGCAGCCUGUUCUCCUCAGAUCAGUCCCCCACGAACACUCAUUCCCGAGGACUCAUCCAAUACUAAUAAGAGAAUGCUCUUGUUUUUGAAGAAUUUUCUGAAAGCCAUCCUGACAAAUUAAGUAGAGUAUGCUGAAGAUAGUCAGACUUUGUUUUUAAGAAUUGAAUAUUCUGGAAGAGGCUCUUCAGUCCAAUCUUUAGUUCUCUCCACAGAGCAAACGAAGUGAAGUGCUGAAGGCCUGGAGCCCGAGCUGUUCCCACACGGACUCCAGGACAGUUAAGGCAGGGUUGCCUUAACUAAAUCUCUGACAACUGUUUCUUCUGUCUUUCUCCUAAAAAUGGAAUGCAGGCCAUCUAUUCUAGGGAAAUAAAGGAUUCUAGUUAUGUGAA
rnacentral:lncRNA from 1 species